GGCGGCGUGCUUAACACAUGCAAGUCGAACGGAAAGGCCCUGCUUUUGUGGGGUGCUCGAGUGGCGAACGGGUGAGUAACACGUGAGUAACCUGCCCUUGACUUUGGGAUAACUUCAGGAAACUGGGGCUAAUACCGGAUAGGAGCUCCUGCUGCAUGGUGGGGGUUGGAAAGUUUCGGCGGUUGGGGAUGGACUCGCGGCUUAUCAGCUUGUUGGUGGGGUAGUGGCUUACCAAGGCUUUGACGGGUAGCCGGCCUGAGAGGGUGACCGGCCACAUUGGGACUGAGAUACGGCCCAGACUCCUACGGGAGGCAGCAGUGGGGAAUAUUGCACAAUGGGCGGAAGCCUGAUGCAGCAACGCCGCGUGCGGGAUGACGGCCUUCGGGUUGUAAACCGCUUUCGCCUGUGACGAAGCGUGAGUGACGGUAAUGGGUAAAGAAGCACCGGCUAACUACGUGCCAGCAGCCGCGGUGAUACGUAGGGUGCGAGCGUUGUCCGGAUUUAUUGGGCGUAAAGGGCUCGUAGGUGGUUGAUCGCGUCGGAAGUGUAAUCUUGGGGCUUAACCCUGAGCGUGCUUUCGAUACGGGUUGACUUGAGGAAGGUAGGGGAGAAUGGAAUUCCUGGUGGAGCGGUGGAAUGCGCAGAUAUCAGGAGGAACACCAGUGGCGAAGGCGGUUCUCUGGGCCUUUCCUGACGCUGAGGAGCGAAAGCGUGGGGAGCGAACAGGCUUAGAUACCCUGGUAGUCCACGCUGUAAACGGUGGGUACUAGGUGUGGGGUCCAUUCCACGGGUUCCGUGCCGUAGCUAACGCUUUAAGUACCCCGCCUGGGGAGUACGGCCGCAAGGCUAAAACUCAAAGGAAUUGACGGGGCCCCGCACAAGCGGCGGAGCAUGCGGAUUAAUUCGAUGCAACGCGUAGAACCUUACCUGGGUUUGACAUGGAUCGGGAGUGCUCAGAGAUGGGUGUGCCUCUUUUGGGGUCGGUUCACAGGUGGUGCAUGGCUGUCGUCAGCUCGUGUCGUGAGAUGUUGGGUUAAGUCCCGCAACGAGCGCAACCCUUGUUCACUGUUGCCAGCACGUUAUGGUGGGGACUCAGUGGAGACCGCCGGGGUCAACUCGGAGGAAGGUGGGGAUGACGUCAAGUCAUCAUGCCCCUUAUGUCCAGGGCUUCACGCAUGCUACAAUGGCUGGUACAGGGAGUGGCGAGCCUGUGAGGGUGAGCGAAUCUCGGAAAGCCGGUCUCAGUUCGGAUUGGGGUCUGCAACUCGACCUCAUGAAGUCGGAGUCGCUAGUAAUCGCAGAUCAGCAACGCUGCGGUGAAUACGUUCCCGGGGCUUGUACACACCGCCCGUCAAGUCAUGAAAGUUGGUAACACCCGAAGCCGGUGGCCUAACCGUUGUGGGGGAGCCGUCGAAGGUGGGACUGGUGAUUAGG
rnacentral:rRNA from 1 species